GAUGAAGAACGUAGCGAAAUGCGAUAAGUAAUGUGAAUUGCAGAACUCAGUGAAUCAUCGAGUCUUUGAACGCACAUUGCGCCCCCUGGUAUUCCGGGGGGCAUGCCUGUCCGAGCGUCAUUGCUGCCCUCAAGCACGGCUUGUGUGUUGGGCCUCCGUCCUCCUCCCGGGGGACGGGCCCGAAAGGCAGCGGCGGCACCGCGUCCGGUCCUCGAGCGUAUGGGGCUUCGUCACCCGCUCUUGUAGGCCCGGCCGGCGCUUGCCGACACAUCAAUCUUUUUCCCAGGUUGACCUCGGAUCAGGUAGGGAUACCCGCUGAACUUAAGCAUAUCAAUAAGCGGAGGA
rnacentral:misc_RNA from 1 species